UACGAAGGGUGCAAACGUUGCUCGGAAUCAUUGGGCGUAAAGCGCACGUAGGCGGCUUCGCAAGUCGGAUGUGAAAUCCCACGGCUCAACCAUGGACGUGCAUCCGAAACUGCAAGGCUUGAGUAUGGAAGAGGGUCGCGGAAUUCCCGGUGUAGAGGUGAAAUUCGUAGAUAUCGGGAGGAACACCAGUGGCGAAGGCGGCGACCUGGGCCAAUACUGACGCUGAGGUGCGAAAGCGUGGGGAGCAAACAGG
rnacentral:rRNA from 1 species